AAGAGAAAGUGAAAGUGGCAGUCCCGGAAGUGCUGCACGCCGAACGGAAAACUGUCCCCUCACCCGAGACUGUGCAGGGUCACUAGCCGGGGCAGGCCUCUAGACUGUUCCUGGCACUCACGCUCCACAAAUGGUUUGGGCAAACCAGAGACACUCGGCCUAGGUGCCCAUGAUCUCCCCUUGGCGGAUCACUCCAGACAGCUCCCAGCUCUUGGAGGGCGGAGCCUAGAGGCGGGCCCUAGAGGGCGAGGUAUAGGAUUGGCUUCUCUGCCCUCUGUUGGUUUACACUCCUUAAGAGCCGUCCUUGCGAGCACCGCGUCCACACGUGGGUAGCCUGCAGGCUCACCGAGUUGCCAACACACCUAAUGGUAGCCCGGGUUCUUGGCCUUUUUGCACUUGAGGAAACAGAAGGUUUGAAGGUUUAUGACUUGCCUAAAGCCACAUUGCGGGAGUUUGAAUCCAAACGUGGCAGUCUCGGGGAUCCACACGACUCUUCUAUUCGCCUAGCAAAGGCUGGGAGUUCUUUUCAGCUUCCACUCUAUUUACAUUUUCUCCCACUUUCAUCUCACAGAUUAGCAGAUCCUCUGGGCAUCCCGCCCCCUGCAGAAUAGAUAACAGAAAUACAUCCUCUCCUGUGCGCAGGUCUCAUCCUGCCAGUUCUCCUGUGUCCUCUCAACUGCCCUAGAGGAUCCAGCUAAAAUAUAGGUGAAGGGACAAGGGAGACAUCUCAAUGGGUUAAGUACUUGCUUGCUGUGCAUGUAUGAGGACCUGAAUUCACUACUCCCCCAGGGGGUGGGUGCUUAUAACCCCCUCUGAGGAGGUAAACUGGAAGAUCCCUGGGGUUCUCUAGACAACCAGGAUAGCCUAAUCAGUAAAGUCCCGGCGGAGACCCUGUCUCAACAAGCUACACAUUUUCUGCUUCUCCCAUCAAGAAGAAAUCCACCUUCCUGCCUAUCAAACUAAGCCGUGCGACAGCUUGUGCAUCAGACUUGCCCUUUCUUGUUGUGUUUUGAAGCCCAGAGACCACCGCAUGGCAUGAUGGAUGAGCCUCUGAAGGAUGCAGCAGGAUUGAUCAGCAACUGGACAGAGCCCAUAUAAAGUUUUGGCUGCAGAA